CAGUCGCCACGGUAAUACGUAGGGUGCAAGCGUUAAUCGGAAUUACUGGGCGUAAAGCGUGCGCAGGCGGUUAUAUAAGACAGAUGUUAAAUCCCCGGGCUCAACCUGGGAACUGCAUUUGUGACUGUAUAGCUAGAGUACGGCAGAGGGGUAUGGAAUUCCGCGUGUAGCAGUGAAAUGCGUAGAUAUGCGGAGGAACACCGAUGGCGAAGGCAAUCCCCUGGGCCUGUACUGACGCUCAUGCACGAAAGCGUGGGGAGCAAACAGGAUUAGAUACCCCUGUAGUCCCUGUCUCUUAUAC
rnacentral:rRNA from 1 species